GAUUAACGCGAAGAACCUUACCUAGCCUUAACAUGUCUGGAACCCUGCAGAAACGUAGGGGUGCCCGAAAGGGAAUCAGAACACAGGUGCUGCAUGGCUGUCGUCAGCUCGUGUCGUGAGAUGUUGGGUUAAGUCCCGCAACGAGCGCAACCCUUGUCGUUAGUUGCCAUCAUUAAGUUGGGCACUUUAACGAGACUGCCGGUGACAAACCGGAGGAAGGUGGGGAUGACGUCAAGUCCUCAUGGCCCUUAUGGCUAGGGCUUCACACGUCAUACAAUGGUCGGUACAGAGGGUUGCCAAGCCGCGAGGUGGAGCUAAUCUCAUAAAACCGGUCGUAGUCCGGAUUGCAGGCUGCAACUCGCCUGCAUGAAGUCGGAAUCGCUAGUAAUCGCAGGUCAGCAUACUGCGGUGAAUACGUUCCCGGGCCUUGUACACACCGAAUCACUAGU
rnacentral:rRNA from 1 species